UCAUGCUAGACGGGGAGGUAGCGGUGCCCUGUAACCUGCAAUCCGCUAUAGCAGGGUUGAUGUCUGUUCGAGGGUUGGCUUUGUGGAGUCUGCCUCAGGUAAGUGGUGUUGACGGCUGGGUCCUGCGCAACGUGAACUUAUGAACCUUGUCAGGUCCGGAAGGAAGCAGCAAUAAGUAAGCACUUGCGUGUGCCGCGGGAGUGCCUGGUUCGAGCUAACUGCCUGGGUACCGUCCGGAAAGUUCUUCUCAGAGACAGAUGCAUGA
rnacentral:SRP_RNA from 1 species